CUGGGCCAGUCACAGUGUGGGGACGAACGGGGGUCUCCUGCUACCCCUCGGGCCGCGCAGAGACGCGCGGCGCCCGGUUCUCAUCUCCGGGGUCUGUGCCAAUCAUAACGGAAACAACUUCCUCACGGUACCACUUCCUCUGAGAAGUCUUCCUGGAUUCCCUCCAUCUCCUCUGUUAUUUUGGACUGUUCUAUGGGCUUCGCCUCUCCCCAUCAUGACUCCAAAGAGCCAGGACAAUUCAUCUGUGUGUCCCAGGGUCUGGUACACUGCAGUAAAUGUUUUUGGAAGAGAAGCAAAUGGAAAAUGAAAUGCUUGAGAUGAGACAACUGAAAAAUCUCUAAUCCUAAGAAAGAAAACUGGAGAAACAUUGACGAUAAAGAGCAAAAAAGAAAACUGUAACCAAAAUUAAUCACUUGAGAAGUUAUCUGAAGAAGCCGUACACUAUCAGAGUGGCAAUACUGUCACCCAAUGGCUGGCUCCCUGCCUUGGAGGGUCGAGUACCGAUUUGUGGAGAGACCUAUGCCAUACUUUUAGUGGUAAAUUAGUAAUCUCUCUUCUGACUGGGGCUAGACUCUAGUAACCUCUCAAGAGUAUUCAAGGUCCUGGAUUUCAAGUCCUAGCAUGGCUUGGGUUUUGUCCCCACCCUGACCACCCACGGCCCUACACAAAGUGGGCAGAUUAGAUUUCUUCUUGCCAUGUCAUGGAUGUCAGCACGAGCUGGGUAGAGGCAGGGGGGCCAUGGCCAGAAGCAUCAUCAAGUAAAGAUGAGGUCAUGCUGGAGUCAGGUGCACCCUAAAUCUAACAGGCGGUAUUAGAAGAGGAGAGGACCCCAACUGUAGAAGCCAUACAAAGGCAGAGGCAAGGAUUGGAAUCUGCCCAAGCCAAGGAAUGGCCAAGGCCACCAAAAGCAGAAAGAUACCAUAGAAAGACCCACCCUAGAACCCUGGAGCACGACCGAUGGCACCAUGCUCAAACCAUCAGAUUGUGCACUGGACUGCAUGAAUCGUUGAGAGUGAGCUACAUCUGGAGCGAGCAGCUCAGAAACAACAGGCUGGGUUUUACGGUCGCCAAGCCUCACAGUCCUCCUCUGGGCUCAGGGAAGUGGCUGGUGGCCAGGGUUACCUUUCUCACCGCUGUGGCACCUCCUGACAGUCCUCUGUGAUGAGCCGGGAGGAGGCAAUGGAUGUCACUCCCAAGCCAUAGAGCUGAGUGCCUGCAGCCGCUCUUUGCCUUCUCUCUUGCCGAAAGUCAGCACCACUCAGCUGGGUGACCAGCAACUCCACCAUGCUGGCCUGUUUCCUCAUCUGUCCAGUGGGGGAGUUAGAGGACUGUGUGGUUGGCAUGCAUUAAAUGUGACACAGGGUGUGACAGCAGCAGUGCUGGCAUAGACUGAAUGGUAGCUGCUGUUGGAGUGAUUCGAUUUGCCCCAUGGGGGUUUAGGGACUCAGUCUCUCCAGAGGGGGACGACCAUGGAAAGGAACAGGGAACGGCCCCAUGUCUCUGCAGUUG
rnacentral:lncRNA from 1 species